rnacentral:rRNA from 1 species
UACGGAGGGUGCGAGCGUUGUCCGGAAUCAUUGGGCGUAAAGAGCGUGUAGGCGGUUUGUCGCGUCUGCUGUGAAAUUUCGGGGCUCAACCCCGAACUUGCAGUGGGUACGGGCAGACUAGAGUGUGGUAGGGGAGACUGGAAUUCCUGGUGUAGCGGUGAAAUGCGCAGAUAUCAGGAGGAACACCGAUGGCGAAGGCAGGUCUCUGGGCAUUAACUGACGCUGAGGAGCGAAAGCAUGGGGAGCGAACAGG